GGCCCUCAUACCACCCUCAUGGAGUCUGUUUCUGACCGUUUGAGCAGACACAUGCACAUUUGUGGCCUGCUGGAGGUCAUUUUGCAGGGCUCUGGCAGUGCUCCUCCUGCUGCUGGGUUGUUGCCCUCCUACUGCCUCCUCCACAUCUCCUGAUGUAAUGGCCUGUCUCCUGGUACCACCUCCAUGCUCUGGACACUUCGUUGACAGACACAGCAAACCUUCUUGCCACAGCUUGCAUUGAUGUGCCAUCCUGGAUGAGUU